AUUAUUGUAUAACAGGUGAAGCAACAUCAUCACCUCAAUGAAUGCAGGCUUUUUGAAGCAGCCUAUGCUGCUGAUAAAACAGUGGAUGAACCGGGUAUUUGUUGUUGCUGCUGCUGUAGCACAACCGCACUUCGGGAUAUUUUCCGUUGUGGUACCGCAGGAGCAGACAGAAAUUCUGGUAUUUUUUUGUUCCAGUCCAGCUUAUAGAGCAACAGUUCCAUUAUUUGCAAGUGGUUUUCCGUGUUGUACACGAUUUGACUGGAAAAAAAUAAACAAACGCAUUAACAUGGGACAGUCAGACAAGGCUGGCAAGCAUACUUACAAAAUUUUCUCCCUAGAAGGACACAUUAGAAUAUGGCACCACACUUGUAUAAGUAUUGUCGGUUUCUCUCUCAGUUCCCGCUGGUAUGCAUUUGGCAUAUACGCAUCAGAUGUAUCAUGAUAUACUUGAGCGUUGUGGUAAAUUGGCAGAUCCUGGAUAUGCAAACGGAUUGCUACGCAUCACUGGUAGUUUAUUUGUGGACAGAUACAUGGAUAGUUAGUAAAAAGUUAUAUAAAUAGUAUAGGAUAUCCUACUUGAGGCUUACGACGAAUUUGUCGUAAAACAUAACCGGAAUGAUCGGAUCGGGCAGCCCUCGUAAGAACUUCUUUAGCACCGUGGCUACACACUCCAGUUAGUAGCUGCCCAGAUCGGUGUUGAUUAGAUUUUCGUUGAGUGAGUCACGCAGUUUGUUAACCUCGUCGUGGUUCGAUGACGUCGUCCGAUACAGCUUAUACAGAUCCAGGUUCAAGUUACACAUCGCUUUCUGUUUGAGCUCGUUGCAAAGUAUUAUAACAAUCUGCGGCGCUAGCAAAGACCAAGCCCAAAGACCUGCUGACUACGGCUGGUCAACGUUAUCGUCCGACUGCCACGGUUCAAGUACCGUGGCCGAGCACUGCUGAUGCACUAUGUGAUUACACUGCUUGCAUAGCGUUCCCUGAUGUAUCAACCACCGCAAGUAUUGCUGACAUUUAUCACAUUUAACCAGCUUAGAAAAAUAAUGGUCCACCAAAUCAUGCAGGUGUUUAUCGGCUGAGUUAUCACCAUCUUCGCCGGUUAUCCCCAGUACGAUACCACCACCUCCACUGGUGGGUUGCAAUGUAUCACCACUGUAAAUCGGUUUCUCUGCGCUCUGCGCGAUUAGGUAAACCAUAUGUAAAAACCUACAGUACAGCAACGAAAUGAAAUAAUAAGCCAAAUAAUAAUGAUUCUAAAUAAUUUACCUUAAUUGUUGUUAUCAGCACGGCGAAAAUUGAAAUAAUAACAAAUAGUUUUCGCGGUUGCCAAGGAUGACAAUUGUCUGAGUUACCAAUAACUCACAGUAAAAUGUACCAAUCGUUGGUAAGGAUGUGUAUUGCAUCUGACAUUUAUUUUACUAUCGGUCGGUAAUAUUUACAGAUAAUUUGUACAUUCUACUAAUGUUUGGCUUACCAAAGAUUUGGUACUUUAUUUUAGUAAUACGUCUUCUGGGUGUAGGAUACACCAUUUUUGCAUUUUCACAUGCAGUAGUGGAAAUGAGAAUGAAAUUCUACAAAAUCAUCCCUUCUUUUUCACAUAAAUUCGCGAAAGCCGAACAUAGUAGGCAUUGUUCGAAUAAGCGUCGUAGCCGUUUGUAGAGAGCCGCCGGCAGCGUUCUGAUGCUGUUUAUAAACAAUACCGACAGCAAUUCCAAUAUGGUUGAAAGUGCAUUUCAUAUGAUUGUUUCACCUGGUAUAUAUAGAGGCGCCUUGGUUCGAACCUGAGAGAGAGGAGCCAGCUCGCGUUUGUUGUGAUCACACUUAUGUCAGCGCGAACCAGUCACGGUGAACCAAGGGGAAGUAUUGAAAUAUGUAGAAAAUUUCAACAUGACAUUUUUUUGCAAGACGUUUUAUGUGAAAAUAAUGUUGACGUCGGACUACAUCUUUCAUUUCUAUACUGGGGUGUAAGUUCAAAGCUUCGAGAACGAGAGUGUUACAUUGGAGAAACAGGAUUUUGAGCAAUAAACCCUCUUCGCCGGAUGAAAAAAAUGGUAUGAUAACCGCUUCAUUCAAAAGAUAAAAUGUCUACGCGUUAUAUGUGUGUUACUUAUUGAUCCAAAAACUUGUUUCAACAGCUCAAAAAUUGUUUUGAAAGCUAGCUAUUGAAAUCACAAAAAUCUGUAUAUAAGUAGAUGCCAGCUCCACUCAAUUAUAAUCGUACAGCGGUUAGAUCAUUUUGGAACAGUUACUGCUGCAAAAAACAAAAACAAACUUGCUGCUGUGAAGAAGGCGACCAGCAAGAAGAAAGCUGCUGCUACUGCUGGUGUGGCUGCCCGAAAGCAAAAUACUGCGGUCAAAUAUAUUCUUUUUGUAAUUUCUUCGAUCAAGUGCGAUCAACGUAAGAUUACAUCUUUCGAGCACUUAUUAGGAGUACAAUGAAUCUUGAGAAAGACAAUUCAUUCCUGCUCGACACUCGCACAAAAAAUGUUCACUCAUCAAUGUCACAAACGGGAAGUGGGUGUUGUGAGGGAGGGCAGAGUGAGCGCAACAUUUACGCAGACUGAUUGGAAGCGACAGAUAUGUUGUAUAUGGGAAGUGGUAUACAAAUUAUAUCACACAUAAAGGGGAGAAAGAAUCUUGACCCUUUUAGUUUUUUGGACAAGACUAUUGGUUCACCUUCACUAUCGGUCAAUUCGAUUGGAUCUUCAGUGAUACUAUUGCCUUGAUUAAACUUGCAUGUCAAAUUUAAAUAUUGCAUAUGAAUGGUCCAUCAGUGAUGGGCAGGAAUAUCAUGGCAAAGAUUAUGAGAGACUGGUAGUAUAAUUCUCAUCUUCAUCCGAAUGCCUGUUAAAAAUGCAGACUCAGCAUUCUUUUUAGUCAACCUAGUAUUAUUUCCAUCGGACACAAACAAAAUUCCCUCAAAAUGCACCUGAGAGAAAUCAAUGUUGGCUAUUUCCAUUGGAAGAUUAGCUCUUAUUUUAUUUUUAUUUUUUUUUUGUCUGUAUUAUAGUGAUUUUCAACUCAUUUGGCUGGUUCGUCACUUUUACUUCCAUUUUUGGAAGAAUGUCGGGAGUGAGAAUUGAACUCGUGACCUUCAGCGUGAGAGGCAUGGAUGUUACCACUACGCCAGAUCGCCUCCCUUCUCUUAUUUUAUGUAUUCCACAUACACACAGGUUUUUUUCACGCGGGGGAUACGUAUCUCGUAAAAAAACCGCGUUAAUUGAAAAAUCCGCGUAAAAAAAACCGCGUAAAAAAACCUGGAAGAACGCUGCAUAUUCAAAUUGCAUCGGAGAUAGACAAUCAUCGCCCACAUUGCAAAAAUCGAUUCGUCGAGCUUGCAGCAAUAGAUCAACCUGGAACCAGUGAAAGAAUACAAGAAUUCGCGAAAACUGAAUGAACGAUCGGAAAAAGUCACAAAUGGGCCCAAAACACCCAUAAAUUCACACAAGAUCUCCACCAACAAACAAAUCAUAAAGGUCGGUUUGCUUCUAAUUUCGGAUUUUGUUUUAGAAAUCAUCGAAAUAAUUCUUUAGGACAACUAUAUCGAAAUUAUCAAAAGUAAAAAAUGUUUGAAUGGGCCGAUGCCGCUAGAAGCCAUGAUGUGGGCUGACCUGGUACAUCUUUUAUUAUUUCCUACAUGAUCAGUGUUCAAAUUUUUACCCCCCAUAUAUUCCUGUUGGACGCAGUCCUAUGUCAAAAAUCUAAUCGGGGAUAAAACGCACAAAUGUACUCACUAACAAAACUUCACGUCAAGUUUGAACACUUUUCUCAUAAAUGAAUGACAACAACUUGCUUGAUUGAAAUUGUCAGUUUGGAAUUUUCUUGAUGAGAAUGCGUAAAUAUAAUAAGAAGAAAACAAACUAUCUGUCAUUCAGCUGGCUCCUCUCUCUCAAGGCCCAUUUAUACGUUGCUAGUAGCUGACUUCACAAUGAGCAGCUACUGACCCGGUGAACUCGCUUGACAAAUGGUUGACUCGCCUUGUCCGUUCACACAAUGUGAGCUGCUGACAAGAAACCAGAUACCACGACACGGGUUUACCAGAGAUGCCAGGCGAUUUUUCAAAUGUCCAUCAAAUAGUCAGAAACAGCAAUCAGGUCCGAAUUUGUCAGAUGAUUGAUCCGAAAUCGGCUUCUUUAUUGGCAGUUUUCAUCUUAGGUUUUCAGUUGAAUUUAUCAUUACACAAUUUUAUAGCGAAACACACGCUGGCCGUGUUUAAAAAUACUUUGUGCUGAAUUUAUUUUAUACUGAAGGUACUAUCCGAAAAAAGCAGAAAGAAAAAAGGAUUCGGGCCAGGAAUUGGAUGCAAAGAAAAGAAGCAACAAAUACAAUAUUGAAGUAACUCUACAAUGAUGAUCUCCGAGAGUACAGAGCAGUGUUGAGAAUAACACCUGAAAAAGUGAGAAAACUGUUGGAUUUAAUUGCUCCACAAAUAUAACGCCAAGAUACACUCAUGAAGGAUGCUAAACCUACAAGAGUGAAACUAGAAAUGAUGUGCCUUUCUUCUGGAAUAUCGUUCAGAUUAUUGUCGAAUUUUUUUAAAAUCUCGAAAGCAUCCAUAGCUAAAAUAAUUCCGAAAGUAUGUGGUGCUCCAAAUGGCAGUCUAAAAGAUUUUUCAAAAUUUGAUUUAUUUCGCCUUGACAGCAGCUUCGUGUACCAAUUUGUGAAAUAAAAAUGUUAGUAGAUUUGCAGGAGCAAUUAAUACGCCUCAAAAACUAAAAUAAUGAAUGAAAAUCUACUUUUUCUAAAUCGAAUAUGUAUUCUGUUUCUUAGAACAAUACUUUUUUGCAAGUUUUGAGUGAAUUUUGAAUUAAAAUCGUGCCCGAUAAUGAUUUUAUAUUUAGAUCCCCAAGAAAACUAUUUUUAAAAAACGUGCCCCGUCAGCGUGCAAAACUAAAUAAUAACGAUUCCGUUUAGAAACUAUGAGGGUUUAAUUUGUUCUUCCAAUAAUUUUCAAGUCUAUAAAUAUCUUCGCAUAUUUUCAAAUAUCUUAAAAAUAGAGAAAUGUAAAGACAAUGUCAAGAUUUGGCAUCCCUGAUUCGAGCGCUAAAAUCUGUUUUUGACGUUUUGAGGGAUGCGAGUGCGAGUAAAUUCAAAAAACUUUGAAGUAGCUCGCACACCGAAUCACACAUGACACUAGCUGGCAUGAUGUGUUCACACGGUGUGAGUAGCUGCACUGCAGUAACUGACUAGACCGACUCGUAUGUUUACUCGCACCGUCUGAACCCGGCUUCAGGUUCGAACCAAGGCACCUCUACACUGGAGAAAUAGUUUAGUAAAUGCAUUUACCAAAUCUUUAGUAGCCAAAACAUUGGUAAAAUAUACAAAUUUUUCGUAAAUAUUACCAAAAUUCAGUAAAAGUGAUGCCAGAUUCAUUGAACGUCCCUACCAGAGAUUCGUAUAUUUUACUCCAUACCAUUAGUAAUCUUGUUUUUUUGUCAUACCUAACAUUUGUGAUGUGCGCACUUUGAAAUCGUCAUUUCUCUUUGGAAAACGGAACGAUUCGGAGACUAAAUGGACAGAGCGAGCGGCUGAAUUUGAACCGCACAGUAUACUAUCAGGACAACUGUACUAUCCAAAAGAAAUCUCAGGAAUAUGGGAGCACGAAAUACGGACGAAACCAGAGCGAUGCAAUAGGAAGAGAAACGGGAGCUGGUUGAAGUACCCGUGAUUAUGGAAAAGCGCAUGAAAUUGAUGUGGUUGAGGCUGCGUUUAUAACUCUCCCCUUGUACACUGCUUAUAAUAUAAUUGCAACGAGAUUUAAUGACGUUAUUAUGUAUUAUGUUAUUAUUAUUGACGAUAAU